rnacentral:tRNA from 4 species
GGCGGGGUAGCCAAGUGGUAAGGUCGGGGUCUGCAAAACCUCUAUUCGCGGGUUCGAUUCCCGCCCCCGCCU